rnacentral:rRNA from 1 species
ACGAACGCUGGCUGCGUGCUUAACACAUUCAAGUCGAACGGAAAGGCCCUGCUUUUGUGGGGUGCUCGAGUGGCGAACGGGUGAGUAACACGUUAGUAACCUGCCCUUGACUUUGGGAUAACUUCAGGAAACUGGGGCUAAUACCGGAUAGGAGCUCCUUCUGCAUGGUGGGGGUUGGAAAGUUUCGGCGGUUGGGGAUGGACUCGCGGCUUAUCAGCUUGUUGGUGGGGUAGUGGCUUACCAAGGCUUUGACGGGUAGCCGGCCUGAGAGGGUGACCGGCCACAUUGGGACUGAGAUACGGCCCAGACUCCUACGGGAGGCAGCAGUGGGGAAUAUUGCACAAUGGGCGGAAGCCUGAUGCAGCAACGCCGCGUGCGGGAUGACGGCCUUCGGGUUGUAAACCGCUUUCGCCUGUGACGAAGCGUGAGUGACGGUAAUGGGUAAAGAAGCACCGGCUAACUACGUG